CAACCGUUGAUGAGAAAUGAAGGUGACGCGGGCGGACCUAAGACAAAUUAUGUGGUGUGGUUUGCUGUGGCACUGGGCUCAUUUUGCAUAUUGCCAUUUGGACAGCGGAUUCGUAGAUCAAUCUCAUUGAUAAGUGAAGAUACCUUAUCAGUGUAAGUCGAGGCGACAUACAUCAAUAAGCCAGUUGUUGCCAACCGUUGAUGAGAAAUGAAGGUGACGCGGGCGGACCUAAGACAAAUUAUGUGGUGUGGUUUGCUGUGGCACUGGGCUCAUUUUGCAUAUUGCCAUUUGGACAGCGGAUUCGUAGAUCAAUCUCAUUGAUAAGUGAAGAUACCUUAUCAGUGUAAGUCGAGGCGACAUACAUCAAUAAGCCAGUUGUUGCCAACCGUUGAUGAGAAAUGAAGGUGACGCGGGCGGACCUAAGACAAAUUAUGUGGUGUGGUUUGCUGUGGCACUGGGCUCAUUUUGCAUAUUGCCAUUUGGACAGCGGAUUCGUAGAUCAAUCUCAUUGAUAAGUGAAGGACCAUCGUCGAAAAAUAUGCGUACAUUCUCACCAGUACGUACCGAGCGAGCGAGUAGCGAGCAGGCGGGUGUGUCGUCCACGCCACUGUCUUUACGAUCAUUUACAGUUUUCUAAGUAUGAAAGGGUUUUGUUUUUGUUAGGAAGGGAUUUGUGUGAAAGGUGUUUGGUGAAUGGAUGCAGUGACUGUUGCAGUGAGAACGAAGUUAAAAAAAUACGACAGGUGAUUUUGACAUGUUCAUGAAAGUUAUAAUUUUAGGUUUAGUGUAGAAUAGGCAAAUUAGGUUUAGCGUAGAUUAUGUAGUAGGUAGAGUAGAGGUUUAGCUUAGAUUUAGGUACGUAGGCUAUGUUAGGUUAUUUUCAAGAGAGCAUAAAAGCGCUGCAAACUUGUAUCCCUACUGGCUGCUUGGCGUUAUCAUCGCGGUGUCUGUCCAUCGGCCCGCCGCCCGCCGCUCGCUAUCACCGCGGUGCCCUCAGUCCAUCGGCCCGCCGCCCGCCGCCCGCCGCCUGCCGCCCGCCGCUCGCUAUCACCGCGGUAUCAUCUGUCCACCGCCGCGCCGCUCGCCGCUCGCAAUCACCGCUCGCUACUCGCUAUCACCGCGGUGCCCUCAGUCCAUUGGCCCGCCGCCCGCCGCCCGCCGCUCACUAUAACCGCGGUAUCAUCUGUCCACCGCCGCGC